GGAAACGACGAAUAAUACCCUAUGAAACUAUCACUUCGCAUGAAGCGAUAGUCAAAGUGUUAGCGGUGUAAGAUGGACUUGCGUCUGAUUAGCUAGUUGGUGAGAAAAAAGCCCACCAAGGCAACGAUCAGUAGCCGGCUUGAGAGAGUGUACGGCCACAUUGGGACUGAGACACGGCCCAG
rnacentral:rRNA from 1 species